UACGGGGGGGGCAAGCGUUGUUCGGAAUUACUGGGCGUAAAGGGCUCGUAGGCGGCCAACUAAGUCCGACGUGAAAUCCCCAGGCUUAACCUGGGAACUGCGUCGGAUACUGGUUGGCUUGAAUCCGGGAGAGGGAUGCGGAAUUCCAGGUGUAGCGGUGAAAUGCGUAGAUAUCUGGAGGAACACCGGUGGCGAAGGCGGCAUCCUGGACCGGCAUUGACGCUGAACAGCGAAGGCCAGGGGAGCAAACGGG
rnacentral:rRNA from 1 species